GUUCAAAAUAAAUCCCUCAGAAAGUAGAUUCCGUAGACAAGCCUGCAGUCUUAAGGAGUUGUUCUAGGCCACAACCAGAGAGAAAACCUUUGGAAGUCAUAGCCCCUCUGGUGGAAUGUGCCUGAAAACUGAAAUGUCAAUGCUGGCAACAGACAUGAUCCAUUUAACCCGAGAAUAAAAAAAAAACAACUCUUGUGACAGACCCAUCUGUAUGACUAUUAUUUGUGGAUUCGUCUGGUUUGCCUUCCUUUCGUGGAAAUUGCUUAUUUCUAUAGCCCAUGCGUAUGAUGUACUUUUUUACCGAACAAAUCUACCGAACGGAC